UACGGGGGGAGCAAGCGUUGUUCGGAUUUACUGGGCGUAAAGGGCGCGUAGGCGGUCGUGACAAGUCACUUGUGAAAUCUCCGGGCUUAACUCGGAACGGUCAAGUGAUACUGUCGGACUAGAGUACAGAAGGGGCAACUGGAAUUCUCGGUGUAGCGGUGAAAUGCGUAGAUAUCGAGAGGAACACCUGCGGCGAAGGCGGGUUGCUGGGCUGAUACUGACGCUGAGGCGCGAAAGACAGGGGAGCGAACGGG
rnacentral:rRNA from 1 species